rnacentral:rRNA from 1 species
UAGCGGCGAGCGAACGGGGAGCAGCCCAGAGUCUUAAUCAGCAUUAGCAUCAGGAGAACGGUCUGGAAAGUCCGGCAGUAAAGGGUGAUAGCCCCGUAUCCGAAGGUGUUAGUGUUGUGAACUCGACGAGUAGGGCGGGACACGUGUUAUCCUGUCUGAAUAUGGGGGGACCAUCCUCCAAGGCUAAAUACUCCUGAUUGACCGAUAGUGAACCAGUACCGUGAGGGAAAGGCGAAAAGAACCCCGGCGAGKGGAGUGAAAUAGAACCUGAAACCGUGUACGUACAAGCAGUGGGAGCCUUGAUUUAUCAGGGUGACUGCGUACCUUUUGUAUAAUGGGUCAGCGACUUAUAUUCUGUAGCAAGGUUAACCGWAUAGGGGAGCCGUAGGGAAACCGAGUCUUAACUGGGCGAAUAAGUUGCAGGGUAUAGACCCGAAACCCGGUGAUCUAGCCAUGGGCAGGUUGAAGGUUGGGUAACACUAACUGGAGGACCGAACCGACUAAUGUUGAAAAAUUAGCGGAUGACUUGUGGCUGGGGGUGAAAGGCCAAUCAAACCGGGAGAUAGCUGGUUCUCCCCGAAAGCUAUUUAGGUAGCGCCUCGUGAACUCAUCUUCGGGGGUAGAGCACUGUUUCGACUAGGGGGUCAUCCCGACUUACCAACUCGAUGCAAACUACGAAUACCGAAGAAUGUUAUCACGGGAGACACACGGCGGGUGCUAACGUUCGUCGUGAAGAGGGAAACAACCCAGACCGCCAGCUAAGGUCCCAAAGUCAUAGUUAAGUGGGAAACGAAGUGGGAAGGCUCAGACAGCCAGGAUGUUGGCUUAGAAGCAGCCAUCAUUUAAAGAAAGCGUAAUAGCUCACUGGUCGAGUCGGCCUGCGCGGAAGAUGUAACGGGG